rnacentral:rRNA from 1 species
AGAGUUUGAUCAUGGCUCAGAGCGAACGCUGGCGGCAGGCUUAACACAUGCAAGUCGAGCGGGCGUAGCAAUACGUCAGCGGCAGACGGGUGAGUAACGCGUGGGAACGUACCUUUUGGUUCGGAACAACCCAGGGAAACUUGGGCUAAUACCGGAUAAGCCCUUACGGGGAAAGAUUUAUCGCCGAAAGAUCGGCCCGCGUCUGAUUAGCUAGUUGGUGAGGUAACGGCUCACCAAGGCGACGAUCAGUAGCUGGUCUGAGAGGAUGAUCAGCCACAUUGGGACUGAGACACGGCCCAAACUCCUACGGGAGGCAGCAGUGGGGAAUAUUGGACAAUGGGCGCAAGCCUGAUCCAGCCAUGCCGCGUGAGUGAUGAAGGCCCUAGGGUUGUAAAGCUCUUUUGUGCGGGAAGAUAAUGACGGUACCGCAAGAAUAAGCCCCGGCUAACUUCGUGCCAGCAGCCGCGGUAAUACGAAGGGGGCUAGCGUUGCUCGGAAUCACUGGGCGUAAAGGGUGCGUAGGCGGGUCUUUAAGUCAGGGGUGAAAUCCUGGAGCUCAACUCCAGAACUGCCCUUGAUACUGAGGAUCUUGAGUUCGGGAGAGGUGAGUGGAACUGCGAGUGUAGAGGUGAAAUUCGUAGAUAUUCGCAAGAACACCAGUGGCGAAGGCGGCUCACUGGCCCGAUACUGACGCUGAGGCACGAAAGCGUGGGGAGCAAACAGGAUUAGAUACCCUAGUAGUCC